GCGGAAGUAGUUCAGUGGUAGAACAUCACCUUGCCAUGGUGGGGGUCGCGGGUUCGAAUCCCUUCUUCCGCUCCA
rnacentral:tRNA from 1 species